UCCUCAUUACUCACCAUAAUAUCUGAUAUUCAAAUCCUAUUGAUUCCGGCUGCCAAAAUUUGGGUUCUUAUUGAACUUAUUCUCCAUAAACGAUUCAUACGUUACGGAAGAUUCUCCGUAAGCGAUUCAUAUGUUACGAGCUCGGUAACAACUUAUUAAUUUCUUCCCUAUAAUUAAUCCCUGAGAUGUUCCUCUAUAUAAACCUCACACGAUAUUAUCUUCCUAAGGUUCUCAGUUUGUUUCUAAACCAUACUCUGUCAAGAUUACAUGAGAUGUUGGUUCUACCAACACAGUAUUUUUAGUUUUUUAAGAACAACAGUAGCAGUAACAAUGGAAAUGCUUGAAAUGAAUCAAUGGAGUUGCAGAUUGUCGCGAACCAAUUAUCCUAAAGAGUUUUUGUCAGCUCAUUUCAUUUAUGGAGCUUAGCAUUUACUACACAAGGAUAUAAUUUGCUGGCAGCUUAGAGAGAAGUACCACACCUAUACCCCUCAUAUUUCAUCUGCAUCUACCUUUUUUAGUCUUGCAAAACUUAGUUUUUUCACUUUCAUGGAAAAUCACCACAAUCACUUGACUUUAGCUACGAGGAAAAUCUUCGCUCAAGAAUGUGUGUUUUGACGAAAGAAUGAACCUUGGAUUGGAAAUUAAGUAUUUAAUCCAAAAAUAAAGGAUAUGAGCAGAUAUGUGCAAAGUCGAUGAUUGGACAUUGGUUAUGGGCAGCUGGUGGAUUAGAAGGCAUAGCUGCAAUAAAAGGUGUCUUAUGAUCAACCUCAUUGUGAAUGAUUACAACAAUAUUUCCGCGCUAGAUUCCCGGAAUUGGUUUCAUCAUCUAAUGAGAAACCACAAAGCUGCACAAGCUACAUCUUUUUGCGCGUCAAACUGGCCCAGUUUGUAAUCAUUGUUACACAAAUGAACCGAUACAGUAAUACCAUCGCAGUAUAUUGAAAGGUUACGCAAAAUAGUAACACAUCCAGGCAGGUGUUAAGAAACUUAGGAAGGAGCUGUAACCAGCUAUGGUAAGUUAAUGGCAAUGAAGAGGGAGCUUCCGAUCCAACCUUCACAGCGAUCACGAAUCCCUUCCACACCCUCCAGAAUUAUAAGUGGCUGCAACUGUUAUUCCUGGACGUGAUUAUGAAUUAGACAAGGCUGUGGAGAAUUUAAGCUGGCAUCAUAUGCUUAAUUUUCAUCUUAUAAUGAUGAAAUGGGGAAAAAAUUGUUUCAUAUAUUGAUCAUUUCAAUUGUAUUUAAUUUUUUUUGUCGCCAGUUCCAUGAUGUUAAGGAGUAUUCGUUUUGUGCACUGUAUCCUAUUGCUUCCUCUCUUUUAAAAUGUAAAAAUGCAUAUUUUCCCAUUAAUAUCAAGCUAUGGUGCUGAAAAGUCUGCAACUGCGUGUUAUCUAGACACAAAACCUAAUCUUUGUGCUUAGGUUUAUACCAGUACUUGCAGAUCUUUUUUUGGACACACAUUCAGG